rnacentral:rRNA from 1 species
GCUACGGGAGGCAGCAGUAGGGAAUCUUUCACAAUGGGCGAAAGCCUGAUGGAGCAACGUCGCGUGCAGGAUGAAGGCCUUCGGGUUGUAAACUGCUUUUAUAAGCGAGAAAGAUGAUGGUAACUUAUGAAUAAGGAUCGGCUAACUACGUGCCAGCAGCCGCGGUCAUACGUAGGAUCCGAGCAUUAACCGGAGUGACUGGGUGUAAAGAGGUGCGGAGUUGGCAUAUAAGUCGCUAGUGAAAUCUGGUGGCUCAACCCUUCAGACUCUUAGCUAAACGGUUAAGCUCGAGGCCGUUAGGGGUAACUGGAAUUUCUAGUGUAGGAGUGAAAUCCGUAGAUAUUAGCAGGAACACCAAUGGCGUAGGCAGGUUACUGGGACGGUUCUGACACUCAGGCACGAAAGCGUCGGGAGCAAACAGGAUUAGAUACCCCAGUAGUC